AUUGCAGGCCGCUCUAUCGCUUGUUUGUUUCGACAAAUGAGAGGAAAGUCCGGGCAACAUAGGGUAUCAUGCUUCCUAACGGGAAGAUCUUCGAAAGGGGAUAGUAGCGUAACAGAGAAUAACCGCCCGAUUUGAUCGGGUAAGGGUGAAAAGGUGGGGUAAGAGCCCACCGGUAGUUGUGGCAACAUAGCUAGCCGUACGUCUCAUGGGUUGCAAGACCAAAUAUACCAACAAUUAAGGAUGACCCGUCCAAUGUUGGGGGGUAGGUUGCUUGAGACUAUUGGUGACAAUAGUUCUAGAUAAAUGAUAGAGGCCUUGUCUUUGAUAAGGUACAGGACCCGGCUUAUAGGCCUGCUUUUUUU
rnacentral:RNase_P_RNA from 1 species